rnacentral:rRNA from 1 species
AACGAACGCUGGCGGCGUGCCUAACACAUGCAAGUCGAACGGAGAUAAGGGGCUUGCUCCUUAUUUUAGUGGCGCACGGGUGAGUAACGCGUAGAUAAUCUGCCUGAUGAUCUGGGAUAACAGUUCGAAAGGACUGCUAAUACCGGAUAAGCCCACGGGGUCUUUGGACUCUGCGGGUAAAGGGGGGGACCUUAGGGCCUUCUGUCAUCAUAUGAGUCUGCGUACCAUUAGCUAGUUGGUAGGGUAAGGGCCUACCACGGCUACGAUGGUUAGCUGGUCUGAGAGGAUGAUCAGCAACACUGGAACUGCGACACGGUCCAGACUCCUACGGGAGGCAGCAGUGGGGAAUUUUGCGCAAUGGGCGAAAGCCUGACGCAGCAACGCCGCGUGAGUGAUGAAGGCUUUCGGGUCGUAAAGCUCUGUCAGAGGGAAAGAAGUGUAUUGUGGCUAAUAUCCACGAUACUUGACGGUACCCUCAAAGGAAGCACCGGCUAACUCCGUGCCAGCAGCCGCCGUAA